UGAACAUGCGGCUAUGCACCGCCCUCCGAAGGCAGAGGUCAGAGGUUCGAAUCCUCUAUGGUCCGCCA
rnacentral:tRNA from 1 species